GGACUGGACUGGCCUGGGAAGAACAGGAAGAGGCAAAAACGCAGCAUCUAUCUCGGAGUUGAACAAGGUCAAAUAAUGCCCUCCCAACCCCAAGAUGGUCAAAUCCUCAUCCUUGGAACCUGUGAAUUGUACCUAAAUGACAAAAGGGAAAGGGGACUUUGCAGCUAAUUAGUUGGAAUUCUGUCCUCAAAAGGAAGCAAUCACUAAGACAAAUCACUCUACCUGUAUCAACACAUCCCACAUACUUGUCAUUUUUAAUGCUGCAAUGGCCAUUCCUUCGCAUAACGUGUUGCAGCUUGUUUCACGACGACUCGGGUC